GCAGAUUUAUUUGUGGUUCAGAUAAGAAAGAAGAUAUGGCUGAGAGUAACGUGAUGGUAUUGGGCACCUGGGCAAGCCCAUUCGUGCUGAGGGUGAAGAUUGCUCUUCACCUCAAAUCUGUCAACUACGAGAACCAUGAGGAAAAUUUGCCGGAAUCCAAAAGCGACCUUCUUCUCAAAUCUAACCCUGUUUAUAAGAAAGUCCCAGUCCUCAUCCAUGGUCAUAAUCCCAUCUGUGAGUCUCUAAUCAUCGUUGAGUACAUCGACGAGGUUUGGACCACCUCUGCUUCUUCCAUCCUCCCUUCUGAUGCCUAUGAACGCGCCCAGUCCCGAUUUUGGGCGGCCUAUGUCGAAGAUAAGUUUUCCACUGCCUUAAGAAGAGUGUUGUUUGGUGCUACGGAGGAAGAUAAAAGGGCAGCAAUGGCCGAAGUCUCAGAAGGGAUGGCGCUGUUGGAGGAAGCCUUUGUGAAAUUGAGCAAAGGGAAAGCUUUCUUUGGUGGGGAAAAUAUUGGGUUCGUGGACAUAGUGUUCGGUAGCUUGUUGGCGUGGAUUGAAGUGAUCGAGAAAUUGAGUGAGAUGAAGCUGAUUUCCGAAAUCAAAACGCCCGGGUUGGUGCAGUGGGCGGAUUGCUUCUCCGCCCAUGAGGCGGUGAAGGAUGUUUCACCCGACGUCGACAAGCUUGUGGAAUUUGCGUUGAAGCUUGGGGCGAGGGUCUUGAAAGCUACGGCAGCCAGCAAUUGAAAUCAAAGUUUGGAGUAUGUGUUACUUAUCUUCUUUUGUCAUUGAGUGGAACUUGGAGAGGAAAAAGGAAGAAGACGUAAAGUAGCUCUUCACCUGAUAAAGGUGAUAUUCGUCGGAAUUAUGUGGUAGUGGGUUGACGGUGGUUUAGGUGGCUAGUGGCAGAUUUGAUGUUGGACCCUGCAAUUUGCAAAUGCUUUUGUGGUCUGUAAUUUGCAUUUUGGACAGUGUGAACUGCUUUUAUUUUAUAGAAUACUGUUUCCUUUUCCUUUUCAAA